ensembl:lncRNA LINC02222 long intergenic non-protein coding RNA 2222
UCCCUGAACGCCUGAGACCUCCAAAUCAUGGACUGGACCCUGAACCAGGGGCUCUUUUCACUCCCUUUCUCGAUCCUCCUGCCCCAGGUCUCUUCAGGAAGGUGGAUGCCUGGAGGUGGCUAAGUCCAGAGAAGAGCUUCAAUCAUUCAAACAGAAACCUCCGGCCCCUGACCUUGCUUUGUGGUGAGCACAUGACCAGUGACCAUCCCAAGGGACCAGGGGGGUCUGUUUGGCCGCCAGGCUGGCUCAGAACUCAGGACGUUCCAAGCCAACUGCCACUUAACGGCUGUGCCAGGAAAAAACCUUCCUGCAACUGACCAACCCUGCAGGAGCAGUUAACGGAAGUUAACUGAAAAUGUGGCCAUCGGGGCUGGUGCAUCAGUGGUUUGAUGAAUUCUAUCCACGACCCAUCCAUCUUGCUGACGGCCGACCUGAGCAGCUACCUGAGAGCUGGCAGCGCUCGCUCGAUGAAGGCCGCCGAAUGACCUGGAAGCCACCCUGAUGGGCAGGGCCCUCGAGGUUAAUGAGACACAGGUAAAGUGUGCCCCAGGCCAUGAGCAGGGGCCCUGAGGAGGAGGACUGUGAGCAGGAAGCGAGCUCCCUCACCUGCUCGCAGGAGACAACCCAGAUAGAUCAAAAGCCAAGAGCACAAAACCAUGUGACAGCUGAGACAAAUGUUGGCUUUUUAGACCUUUAAGGUUUGGAUGUCUCUAUUCAGAAGACUUUGGCCUGUAAUCCCCCUCUCAUGGGCUGUCUCACACCGCACUUGGUAUCAAGAUUCUCCCGAUCUGGUGAAGGCAGUGUUGCUGUGUUCCUUCUGGAUCUAUUCUAUGGAAAAGAGUGCAUAAAAUUGGCAUGGGAAAUGGGACAUUUUUCUAAAUAGAGGAAAAUAUUUAAGGCAAAAAUCCUGAUAGAAAAAUCAAGAAUACAAAUUCAGAGCUUGGGAAAUUCAUCUCUCCACCAUCUCCAAUCUGAGGACGGGGUAUGUUACACUAACCUUCAGGUACAGCUGUGAUGAAGGAUGAAGUGUUGACUGAUGCGGGGAUGGAAUUUUGUUUCUAGAACAUUGAUCCUUGGGUUGUGCUUUGCACAGAGGAGCAUGCUUUCUAGAGAAAUGCACACACACUCCCAAAGGCAUUCACCAUCACUCCACACGGACUCUCUCCUCCAUAUCUCCCCACCCUGAUGCACCCCUAUUCCUAUUUAAAUGACAUCACUGCUUCUGGGAACUGCAGUGGAUGGCCACAGUUGUUGACUAAACUCUUCAUUUCUUUACACCAAACUGCCCAAACCUCAUUUCCAGCAGGAGGCUCAAACCAGGGUAGUUCUCCAGCAAAAGUAGGGAGGAAAGUGUCACCUUUCUCAAAGCUAAGAUUUUUCCUUAUUAAAUGGGAGAUCCCAGAGUACGCACGUUAGAGCUGAAUCGCUGAGUGUGUCUGCAGAGAGAAAGGAAAACACCGUGAGCCUCAGACCAUGCUGUGUCCUGUGUUCAUGGGUCUUUUCUUCACUUGGUGACAUUAGAAAACUGGUUGGGAGAUAGUGCUCGAGGCAAUGGCCCCCAAAUAAAGCCUAGAAGACACUUGAGGAAAUGUACAAGAGUGUUGUAUGAGAUUUUCAAAAAUGAUUUUUGGUUGCAAAGUCACCGCUGUUUUCAAGAAUGCAUUUCUCCUGAGGACAAUGCUCUCUGCCAUGCAGUUUAUCACUAACACUGUCAUCUAUGAGUGCCAUCUGGAACAAGUUCCAAGUUGGCAAUGAAUGGGCUCUCACAUACCUCUGCCCACCAAGAAAUUCUGUGGCUCAUCUGUAAAGUCCGUGGUAAGAAUUACAUAUCUUAAUUCAGAGAAAAUAGAAAGAAACCAAAAGAAAUAAAA